AACCCUUGACAAAUCAUUUAUUAAUCAUAACAUUGAUUGGUUUUGUUUCUGGGUGUUCCUGAAACGUGUGCCAGAUGUGGGAAUGUCAUGCAUGCCACAGCGUACGUGUCGAGGACAGAGGACAAUUUUGUGGAGCAGUCUCUUGAAUCAUAUUUACCUGUUGUCCACAAUAUGGUAUUGCAGACAGCACACUAGGUGGUCCACAGCUUCUACAUACUGCUGUCCAAUGUCACAGGUCAAUUGUGGCUUGCACUUCUGCUCCAAGAAAACGAGCCUCUAAGCAAGCAAGUUCCUAAUGGUGAAGAAGGCAUGGAAGCAAGCAACUAGAGCAGGAAGCCCUACUUUAAAGUAGAAGCACACAUCUCUACUGUGCACAUGACAGAGGUCAGAAAGAAGUGGAAGAAGUCGACAAACCCUCUAUGCCACAUCAAGUGAUGUACUCCAGCAAAGUCUUGAACUUCUAUAUGUUCCAUAACACUCCCCAACAUACCCAUACCCUGCACCAGACUGUAUCACUAGUUGGAAACUGAGUGUUCAAAUACAUGAACCUAUAGAGAAUAUUUCUCCUUCAAGCCAUGAUGAAGUAACA